CUCUCUGCCUCGAGGCUCCGCCUCCACGUGGGACGCCGUGGCGCCGGCCUGCGUUAAGUGCGGACGUAGAUGGGAGCCUCUUUUUUAAGGAGCAAAAGAUUCGGGCAGAUAAUGCGAAGAUCAACAGCCAGUAGCUCUUGGAAGGAUGCUUACGGGGCAGCCCAUCAGGGAAGUGCCAGUGAGAGCUCGCGCACACCCGCUAAAGACCCGCAGGGAUGUGCGUGCCUGGAACCCUCAUCCAAUGGUAAUUUACGGCCACUGUGGAAAACUGUUUGGCAUUUCUUUAAAGGCUAAUUUUUGCCUACAACGUGAUCCAGCCAUUGAACUCCUAUGUGCCCAGGAGAAGCGAAAGCAUAGGUCCAAGACUUGAUUCAUAACAGCCAAAAAUUGGAACUAAUCCAAAUGUCCAACAGAUGAACAUGUAAACGAACUGUACUAUAUUCACACAAUGGAAUACUACCCAAAAUAGAAAGAAAUGAACAAAUCCAAAAACCCAGCAAGAGAUGAAUGGGUGCUUGUGGAAACAGCGCCUCAGAGCUUCAGUUAAGUCUCUUUCAGAGACGCCAAAGCCGAGGCCAGCAGGAGUCCAGGGACUUCCCAGGCCAAGGAGGCAGUGUGGAGUGGAGCCGGGAGCAGGGCCUCUUGGGGUGCCCACCUCACACAUCGGAACCCUCCACACAGUGGUCCCUUGGUGAGCUGUGCCUUCUCCGAGAGCAUAGUCCCAGCAGCCCUGUGUGGCCCCUUGUGGCAGACGAAUCUCACCCCCUGUGUGGGGAACGGCCACCUCCCCUCCAGCCCCUUCACCCCAUGACCCACUCCGCGGCAAGACGGCCUUUCCACAGUGAGACCCUCAUGGAAUCCCUCUGCCUCAGAGUCAAAUCCAAAAGCUGGGUUAAGUCCAUAGGUUCAGAGCAUGAAUGGCCACUGCCCACAGGCUACUCAGAACUGCCCUCCCCGGCGCUGGCCCCUCACCCCCACUGCCGCCCUCCCACCUUCCAGCCUGCCCACAGGCAUCUGUCCCCUCUCCACCUUUGAGGUUGGUUUAGAGUAUGACAUUUCAAGGAGUGCUUCCUUGAUCUGGACAGUCAGAGGUUCUUCACAUUCUGUGGUAAUUGUCCCUGUAUCCUGUCCCUCACUGGGCCCUGUGGGGUGGGAGCUUAGUCUGUCAUUCUGUCCCCAUCACCCAGCUGGGUACAGCAGGUGCUCCAAAAUACAUCCCAAGUGGACAAUCGUUCAACUUCGGGAACUUCCAGCCAAGGUGGAACGCCCGGGAGAGGGUUUUUCAGGCGUUUGUGUUAGGCAGCACGGAGUGAUCUCUGAGACACAUGACGCGAGGGGAAACAGAACCAGCUCUGCGCUUGUCCCAGCCUCCUGUCUGGACGGAGUUUCCCAGGGCCAUGAGGGGGCGUCUGUCAGGCUCCCUGAGGUGGAGAGACAGGACCGGGCAUUGGGGGGGAUCAGGAUGGCUGAGGCUGGCAUGGGGCGCUGCACAGACCGGCCUCGAGCUCUCCAGGGGCCUCCCCUGUGGCUGCAGCUUAGUGAGAACAUGUGCAUGUGAGGAAACUGCCAGAGACAAAGAAAGGACUGCCCAAAGGGGGAGAAAUGGUAAAUUGCCACAUCUACUCAUAACCAAAAAUAGCUUGUGUUCUCAGCAGCCAUAAUAAAAAUCCCCUAACCUGUGGGACACUACAUAGAGUUCUUGGGCGGGUACGGUUGUGGAUUAAAAACUCACCUAGAUGAUGAUCUGCUCUGAUCUAACUUGGUAAAGCUUAAGAUCAAGCAUCAAAAUGACCAGAACAUUGAAAUGUACCCCAAAACAAAGGUCAAGAAUGUUUACAAGAAUACAAUAGUUACUAUUGGCACCCAAAAAGGUAAAAUUUGCAAUGUCUGGCAUCCAAUUCAAAAUUACCAGUCAUUCUGUAACAUCUUUCUUCCUAUGCUGACAGGUAGUAACCACACUAGUGGGGGUGAGGAUUUAAUAAUAAGGGUAACUGUUGAACCACUGGUUUGUAUACUUGAAACCAAUGUAAUACUGUGUAUCAACUAUACUUCAAUAAAGUAGUAUGCUUUAAAAAAAUUACCAAUCAUGCAAAGAAGCAGAAAAAUAUGACGUAUAAUAAGGAAAAAAUGUCAAUAAAAUAACAGAUGAUUGAAUUUGUAGACAAGCUCAUUAAAACUUGAACUUAAUAUCCCAUAUGUUCAAGAAAGUAGAAGAAAUGCUGAGCGCAUUUUGUAUUUAUGUAUAUACAAGUUGGACACCUAGGAGCACCCAUGCGUAGUUGUAGUUCAAGUCCAAAGGUCUAAGAACCAGGAGAGCUGAUGUUGUAAAUCCCAGUCCAAAAUAUGACAGGCUCAAGACCCAGGAACAGCUGAUGUUUCAGUUGGAGCCCAAAGGCUGGAAAGACCAAUGUGCCCGCCCAGUAACCAGGCAGGAGUUUCCUCCUAAUAAGCUUUUUGUUCAAGUCGUCAAUUGAUUGGCUGAGGCCCACCCUAAUUGGAGAGGGUGGUGUGCUUUACUCAGUCUGUUCAAAUGUUAACCUUACUCAGAGACACCUCAGACACACGCCCAGAAUAACGUUUGCCUAAUGUCUAGAUAGCCUGUGGUCCCGUCAAGUUGGCACAAAAUUAACCAUCACAGUAUGUUGUUCAGUUUCCACGUAUCUGUGAUUUUUUUCCUGUUUUCCCUCUCUUACUCCUCUUAGUUUCAUUCCACUGUGACUGGAAAAGAUCCUUCCUAUGAUCUUGGUCCCUUACAACGCCUCAGGACUUACUCUGCGGCUGCCCGCGGUCACUGCCGGACGCUCCACUGCACUGAGACCAUGUGUGCAGCGCUGCUGGGGGGACGGUUCCCUCGGUCCGUUAGGUCCGCUUGGUUCACAGCGUCGCUCACGUCUGCAUUUCCUUCCCCACCCGUCUGCUUGUUCUGCCCCCUAUGGAACGUGGAGAGCUGCCGCCUCCAGCUGAUGCAGCCGCGCUGCCCACUUCUCCGCACGGUCCCGCCGGCUUUGGUCAUGCGUUCUGGGCUUGGGGUUGGGUGUGAGUAACCGUUACAGCCUCCUGCUCUACUGUGCCUUUUAUCAACACGUUUCCUUUUCUGUAACCUGUUUUAACCUGUUUUGAUUUAAGACCAUUUUGUUUUGCAAUAAUACAGCCACCCAUCUCCCCUUUGGUUACUAUUUGGGUGGCAUGUCUUUUUCCAGCCUUUUCCUUACAGCCUCUUUGUGUCCUUACAUCUAAAGUGACUCUUGCAAGCAACAUAGAGAUAGAUUUUGUGGGAUUUUUAGAAAUCCAAUCUGCCAAUCUGUCUUUUAAUAGGAAAGUUUAACCCAUUUAUAUUGGAUGUGAUCAUUGAUAAAGAAGGGUUUACUUGUGAUGUCUCUGUACAUUUUAUGUGGUUUUUGUUCAAUUCCUACGUUUCUGUCUCUUUUUUGGUUAUUUAGUUGAUUUUUCAUAGUGUACCACUUUGAUUCCCUUCUUUCUUUGUGUAUUUUUAAACUACCUUCUCAGUGGCUAAGAAAUUAUAAUUAACAUCUUAGAUGUGUAACAAGCUAGUAUGAAUAAUAUGGCUUAGUUUCAGUAGUUCACAAGCACUCUGCAUCUGUUCCACCCCCUCUAUAUUGUUAUUGUAUUACAUUGUUAAAAUUAGGCUUUAUACAUUGUAUGACUAUUAACAUAGAUUUAUAAUUGUUGUUUUAUGCAUUUGUCUUUUAAAUAAUCACAUAGAAAAAGAGAAGUUGCAAACCAAACCAAAAGUACAACAAUGCUGGCUUUUAUAUCUACAAAUAAAGUAACUUAUCCUAGUAUUAUUUUUAA